rnacentral:rRNA from 1 species
GACGAACGCUGGCGGCGUGCUUAACACAUGCAAGUCGAACGGAAAGGCCCUGCUUGCAGGGUACUCGAGUGGCGAACGGGUGAGUAACACGUGGGUGAUCUGCCCUGCACUUCGGGAUAAGCCUGGGAAACUGGGUCUAAUACCGGAUAGGAGCCAUUUUUAGUGUGAUGGUUGGAAAGUUUUUUCGGUGUAGGAUGGGCUCGCGGCCUAUCAGCUUGUUGGUGGGGUAAUGGCCUACCAAGGCGGCGACGGGUAGCCGGCCUGAGAGGGUGGACGGCCACAUUGGGACUGAGAUACGGCCCAGACUCCUACGGGAGGCAGCAGGGGGGAAUAUUGCACAAUGGGCGCAAGCCUGAUGCAGCGACGCCGCGUGGGGGAUGACGGCCUUCGGGUUGUAAACUCCUUUCGCUAGGGACGAAGCUUUUUGUGACGGUACCUAGAGAAGAAGCACCGGCUAACUACGUG